UGCGGCAAAGGAAAUGGUGUCUUCCUAUUUGAACCGUCCCGCUAAAGGCAGGACUGAUGGCGCCUACAGAUUA
rnacentral:ncRNA from 2 species